AGUUAGAUAAGCAGAUCUCUCAUCAAAAUAAUCAGUGACACGAACUUUUUGAGCUUCAAGCAUAGCUAUUCUGGCGAGUAGCUCUUGCUUAUGAGUAUCACCUUCAGAUGGGGAGGCCUUAGAAUCAGGAUCAUCGGACUUGCAAAGGCAGAAGGUUGAAUCCUUUAGGUUGGUUGAUCUCCCAGUCAGGAAAAGGGCUUGCUUUGGAGGCAGGAAGGAGGCAUUAAUGGCUUUGAGGGUGAUAAUCUUCUUCUGUCCACAGGAGAGUGAAAGAGAGGGGACGUUAAUGGCUUUGAGGGCGAUCAUCUCUCUUGGACCAGUGGCUAUUUUGGACAUUUCAUUUGGUGGACAUUAUCCGUUGCGAGAACUUACUGUGGUCCUUUUCAAAAGGUGAGCUCUUUGCUAAUACAAAUUUUCUUUUAGGUGUAAAUUAUAAGUUAAAUUUUUUAAAUUUAUUGAAAAUUACAAUUUAAUCCUAUAAUUUUAAUUUUAAAAAUAAGUUAAUCCUUGAAUCUGUUAAUAACGAAGUUAUUCUACCCAAUUUUCAUUUAAUUUGCCUUUAGUAGAUAGAAAAUGAUAAAAAUAGCCUCUCCUUCUCUGUGAACCAUCUCUCCCUCCUCCUUUCCAUUGAAAAUGACAAUCCACACCUCUCUUUCCCCAGAAUCACAAUGACAUAAUUAAUAAUUAAAUGGACAAAAUUUAAAAACUAAUUUAACAAAUCCACAAAAACCAAAAUUGAAUUGAAAUUCACAAACCAAUCCUCUAGCAACAUUGAAUAGACGCAGAGCAUCGGUCCAGGUUGACCCAUGGAAGCUCGCCGCAAGUUCUC
rnacentral:misc_RNA from 1 species